CGAACACUAGGUGUCGGGGGAAUCGACCCCCUCGGUGUCGUAGCCAACGCGUUAAGUGUUCCGCCUGGGGAGUACGCACGCAAGUGUGAAACUCAAAGGAAUUGACGGGGGCCCGCACAAGCGGUGGAGUAUGUGGUUUAAUUCGAUGCAACGCGAAGAACCUUACCUAGGCUUGACAUGCUUGUCGUACUCUCCCGAAAAGGAGAGGUCACUUCGGGUGGACAAUGCACAGGUGCUGCAUGGCC
rnacentral:rRNA from 1 species